AAGACCUUGCGCUUUUGGAGCGGCCGAUGCCUGAUUAGCUUGUUGGUAAGGUAAAGGCUUACCAAGGCUUCGAUCAGUAGCUGGUCUGAGAGGACGGCCAGCCACACUGGGACUGAGACACGGCCCAGACUCCUACGGGAGGCAGCAGUGGGGAAUUUUGGACAAUGGGGGAAACCCUGAUCCAGCCAUGCCGCGUGAGUGAAGAAGGCCUUCGGGUUGCAAAGCUCUUUCAGCCGGAACGAAACGGUUACGGAUAAUACCCGUGACUACUGACGGUACCGGAAGAAGAAGCACCGGCUAACUACGUGCCAGCAGCCGCGGUAAUACGUAGGGUGCGAGCGUUAAUCGGAAUUACUGGGCGUAAAGCGUGCGCAGGUGGUUUUGUAAGUCAGAUGUGAAAGCCCCGGGCUCAACCUGGGAACU
rnacentral:rRNA from 1 species